UACGUAGGUCCCGAGCGUUGUCCGGAUUUAUUGGGCGUAAAGCGAGCGCAGGUGGUUUAUUAAGUCUGGUGUAAAAGGCAGUGGCUCAACCAUUGUAUGCAUUGGAAACUGGUAGACUUGAGUGCAGGAGAGGAGAGUGGAAUUCCAUGUGUAGCGGUGAAAUGCGUAGAUAUAUGGAGGAACACCGGUGGCGAAAGCGGCUCUCUGGACUGUAACUGACACUGAGGCUCGAAAGCGUGGGUAGCAAACAGG
rnacentral:rRNA from 1 species